rnacentral:rRNA from 1 species
GACGAACGCUGGCGGCGUGCCUAAUACAUGCAAGUAGAACGCACAGUUUAUACCGUAGCUUGCUACACCAUAGACUGUGAGUUGCGAACGGGUGAGUAACGCGUAGGUAACCUGCCUGGUAGCGGGGGAUAACUAUUGGAAACGAUAGCUAAUACCGCAUAAUAUCAAUUAUUGCAUGAUAAUUAAUUGAAAGGUGCAAUUGCACCACUACCAGAUGGACCUGCGUUGUAUUAGCUAGUAGGUGAGGUAACGGCUCACCUAGGCGACGAUACAUAGCCGACCUGAGAGGGUGAUCGGCCACACUGGGACUGAGACACGGCCCAGACUCCUACGGGAGGCAGCAGUAGGGAAUCUUCGGCAAUGGACGAAAGUCUGACCGAGCAACGCCGCGUGAGUGAAGAAGGUUUUCGGAUCGUAAAGCUCUGUUGUAAGAGAAGAACGGGUGUGAGAGUGGAAAGUUCACACUGUGACGGUAUCUUACCAGAAAGGGACGGCUAACUACGUG